ACACAAAGAGGCUUCUGACCGAGAGACGGCAAUUAAGCUCAUGCAGAAAUUAGCAGACCGGGGCAUUAUUCAUCACGUGUGUGACGAGCAUAAGGAAUUCAAGGAUGUCAAACUCUUCUACCGCUUUAGAAAGGAUGACGGCACCUUCCCACUGGACAAUGAAGUGAAGGCCUUCAUGAGAGGACAGAGGCUGUAUGAGAACCUGGCUCUUACAUGUGGGGUGGUUACAUAACUGUUCCUUUUGAUAUGAGAAAACCCAAUCACUCACUUGCCUUUCUCUUUGCCAGAAAUCAAGUUGAUGUCAUAAGAUUCUUAGUAAAGAAUUUAUUUAAACAGUAUUUUCUAUAUUUAGGUCAAUUUAACAAGACUGCGGAAGUAAAAGCAAAACUUUGGCACUUGAUGUUUGCCAUCAAGGGAUGCAGUUGCCUCUUCUCUUUUAAAUACGGGUGUAUGACAUGGAGGUUUGGUCUUGUAACUGGCUAGAAGCAGUGUCAAGGACAGGGGCAGUUCCAGUUCAGGUCAAGAGAUGAGUAGUGAGAGAAGUCCGAUAGCAGGAUGGCCUGCGAGGAAUUCCCUCUCAGCUCCUUGGAAGAGAUGAGUGUACUGUGUAACCCUGGAGUAUUUGGUUGGUGGAUCUUGAAUCUCUCAGUGGUUUGUCUCUGAGCUGAUCUGCUAUUUCUGCAGUCCCUUUCCUAGCCUGCCUGCCUUGUUUUUCAGGGCAGCCCUUACAGGGAAAGAGUGCAGGGGUAGUGACACCUGUUUCUUAACUGCAGUUACCCUUUCAAAACAUUUAUAAUAUAGAAGAGCCUACUCUGUAAGUGGGUUGGUGCGUGGGGCAGAGGCACCUCAGAGGUCAGAUUGAGUGGCAUGAUGGUUAGGAAUCCAACAAGGUUUGAAUUCUAGCCCUGCUACCUCUGAAAACCUCAGCAUCCUCUUUUAUGAUAUGGGAGUGGGUGAUAGCACCUACCUCCUAGGUGUUUAAUGCUAUUCUGGGAAUUAAAAAAAUAAAUUGGAGUUCCUGUUGUGGCUCAGUGGGUUAAGAACCUCACUAGUAUCCAUAAGGAUGUGGGUUCGAUCCCUGGCCUUGCUCCGUGGGUUAAGGAUCAGACGUUGCUGAAAGCUGCAGCGUAGGUCAAAGACAUGGCUGUGGCGUAGGCCUGCAGCUGCAGCUCCAAUUCAACCCCUAGCCUGGGAACUUCCAUAUUGCACAGGUGUGGCC
rnacentral:lncRNA from 1 species